AACGAACGCUGGCGGCAUGCCUAACACAUGCGAGUCGAACGAGACCUUCGGGUCUAGUGGCGCACGGGUGCGUAACGCGUGGGAACCUGCCCUUAGGUUCGGCAUAACUCCCCGAAAGGGGUGCUAAUACCGGAUAAUGUCUUCGGCCCAAAGAUUUAUCGCCUUUGGUUGGGCCCGCGUUGGAUUCGCUAGUUGGUAGGGUAAAAGCCUAACAAGGCGACGAUCCAUAGCUGGUCUGAGAGGAUGAUCAGCCACACUGGGACUGAGACACGGCCCAGACUCCUACGGGAGGCAGCAGUGGGGAACAUAGGACAAUGGGCGAAAGCCUGAUCCAGCAAUGCCGCGUGAGUGAUGAAGGCCUUAGGGUUGUAAAGCUCUUUUACCUGGGAUGAUAAUGACAGUACCGGGAGAAUAAGCCCCGGCUAACUCCGUG
rnacentral:rRNA from 1 species